rnacentral:rRNA from 1 species
GAUGAACGCUGACAGAAUGCUUAACACAUGCAAGUCAACUUGAAGCAGUUUCGGCUGUGGAUGGUGGCGGACGGGUGAGUAACGCGUAAAUAACUUGCCCUUUAGACUGGGACAACUGUUGGAAACGACAGCUAAUACCGGAUAUUAUGAAACCUUGGCAUCAAGGGAUUAUGAAAGCUAUAUGCGCUAGAGGAGAGAUUUGCGUCCUAUUAGCUAGUUGGUGAGGUAAUGGCUCACCAAGGCAGCGAUAGGUAGCCGGCCUGAGAGGGUGAACGGCCACAAGGGGACUGAGACACGGCCCUUACUCCUACGGGAGGCAGCAGUGGGGAAUAUUGGACAAUGGACCAAGAGUCUGAUCCAGCAAUUCUGUGUGUUUGAUGAAGGCCUUCGGGUUGUAAAGAACUUUAAGUAGGGAAGAAGAAAGUGACGGUACCUACAGAAUAAGCGACGGCUAAAUACGUGCCAGCAGCCGCGGUAA